CAUUGGCCUUAAGCUUUUAGAUUCGAAAUAGACUUUGAUCCUGGAUCGAUUGAAGCGACGGAUUUUUUUUGAUCCAAAUUAACUGAUCAGAAAGAAUGAUAUAUAACAGAUUCUGAUGUGUUGGAAGUAAAUAGAAGAAUAAAUUGAAAUUUUGUUCUUUUUUGAGUAUUUCUACCGAAAUAAGGUAAGCGACAGAAAAUAGAAAAUCUCAAAUAACAUCAAAAUUCGACAAUAGUUAAUUAGAAAGUGAGCACCAAAAAACGAAACGAAAAAAAUGGCUACAUCAAAUAUAUAAUAAUCAAUUAGUAACAAGAAUCAGAAUCCAAAAUCAUGAAAAGUAAAUGGCAUGCU